UCUGAUGAAUUCGGCACUUAAGUUAUUUAAUACAAAGGCUUUAUUAUGACAGACAGAGGCUCCCAGCUCCUAGCAGCGACCCUGAGGUCUCCAAAGAAGAUAAUGGAAAACCAUGAUGGCACCACCUGGAUUGCUGAUAACACUGACCAGUGAGCAAAAUGCCCCAAGACAACACCUGCUGCUAGGACCCAGCCCAGACUGAAAAACUCUCACCUUAUGAGCCCAGCAGCCAAAGACUGAUACUGUCCUGGUGCCUCUGCCCCAAAGCUAUGGAGACCACAGGAGCCUGGGAUGCUUGUCUAGGCUUCCACUUGACUGACAGGCACAUCCCACUGCUGACUAAAACCUGCUCCAAAUGGCUAAAGCCUGGACUUGCUGAAAGCUGAUGUGCAACAAUCCAGCCGUUGUAAAAGUUCCCCAUCUCUUCAGCUGGGUCAGCAAACCAGACGCUUCGGAUGAACUCCCCCUUGUCUAAACUCCUUCCUUGCUUUGGUCUGACAUUACAAACUUCCUGGGCCCUGACAGGAACAUCCUAGUUUCGUGAGGGAGCGCACAGAAGUGGAUCCAUUCCACCUUGGCUAAAGGUCUGGGCAGCUGGAAAUGAGCAAACAGCCUCUGUCAACACACGUGUAUUACGAAGCAUUAUCUGCUUGCCUAUGAUUCUCCAGUUACUUGUGAGAGAUCAAUGAAAAGUUGGCUGGGAGGUGCUUGGCAUCAAGCUACACAAUCUCCCUUAACCCUUUAUGAACAGAUGCUGGUAGUAAUGAUGAGUAAGAUCUUUUUCCCUCCAGGCAAUCUAAAACAGGAUGUUUCAUGAUGAAAUGUAUGUACUGAUGAUGGGUAAGUCUGCAAGGUUGAAGAACACAAUCUAAGACAGGCACAGCCAUCUGUCCUGUAGCAGAAGUGCAAGCUUUAAUAAAUAAAUUAA